rnacentral:rRNA from 1 species
AUUGAACGCUGGCGGCAUGCCUUACACAUGCAAGUCGAACGGUAACGGGCCUUCGGGUGCCGACGAGUGGCGAACGGGUGAGUAAUGUAUCGGAACGUACCUUUCAGUGGGGGAUAACGUAGCGAAAGUUACGCUAAUACCGCAUAUUCUGUGAGCAGGAAAGCAGGGGAUCGCAAGACCUUGCGCUGAUUGAGCGGCCGAUAUCAGAUUAGCUAGUUGGUGAGGUAAAGGCUCACCAAGGCGACGAUCUGUAGCGGGUCUGAGAGGAUGAUCCGCCACACUGGAACUGAGACACGGUCCAGACUCCUACGGGAGGCAGCAGUGGGGAAUUUUGGACAAGGGGGGCAACCCUGAUCCAGCCAGGCCGCGUGAGUGAAGAAGGCCUUCGGGUUGUAAAGCUCUUUCGGCCGGGAAGAAAUCGUAUCAGCUAAUACCUGGUGCGGAUGGCGGUACCGGCAUAAGAAGCACCGGCUAACUACGUGCCAGCCGCCGCCGUAAUAC